UGCAGAAAAAUGGGAGGGAAACUUAAACCAAGCCCCUCGAUGAGUUGCUCGAGCUGAGCCCAAAGAGUCUCACUCUCUGAACGAUCCCGUCUGUGGUCGCCGCCGUGGACUGAACUGGUUGUUGCGCUCACCGUUCGUCACACAUUCCAGAUUUGAGCCGCCGUCUACGUGGGUUGGACUCGAUUUCCAGAUCUGAGUAGUCGCGUCUCUGCUUCUUCCACUGCCACGGUUCUUGCGUAUUUCUUUCUCUUCUUUUGGACUUGAUUUUCUGUUGUUCUUCACACAUUCUCCUUUGGAAGUUGUUCUUAUUCUUAUUCUGCUUGCAAAAUGAAUUAAAAGGCGAAAUGCGACGUCUUUUUGGCAAAUAUCAGAGCUGGAAAGCAUUAUUUUUGUCUAAUCAUGUUCUCUAUUAGUUUUUCCUUUACAUCCUGUUUUUUAGACCACAUCUAGUCAUCUUCUAGCAGUUUCCCAUCACCUUUUAGGGUUUCGGUUCCACAUAACCAUCAGAAAGAUGCUAGUAGUUUCAUCCCAGCUGGAGAACACCUUCUCAAAAAUUAUAGAAUUCAUUCAUUUUAGAUUGAAGUGACUUAGAAGAUGAUGAUGGUGAUCAUGAUGAGUAGAUUUUAGCGGUGCAUGUUUUUUACAGGUUGAGAGAUCAGAUGGCCAUUCGGGGAGACCUUUUUGGCUCCCUUUCAAAGGACACAUAUAUCUAUCUGGGUCCCUCUUUAUUAAGAUCACAAGACACGUACCCUAAUGGAAUUCCUUUCUUGUUAUACGAAUGUGCUGGAGUGCUCUGCCUUGGAGUGGUGCUACUGCAUCUUGCUUCACUGGUGGCAUUGUCCUUUUGUGUAGCAGCCUGUGCAAGUCCUUUGGCUUUUUCCUCGUGUGGCAGACUGAUGCAGUGCUCUUUCCUUUUGUAUAGGAGUCGGUUAAAGUGCAAUUUCUUUAUCCUCAACACGCUUUAAGCCCCCAAAGAUGGAGAAAAAAGAUUUGCCUCAUUCCACCAAAUCGCCUUUCUUCUAAAUUUACCCAUCCCAGGAUUUGCCGAUACCCACCAAAUAAUUUUAAAAAAAUGAAAAUAAAAAACCAGUUGCUGAACCUUGAAAGUGACCAACUUUCUAUAUAUAUAUGAUCCACAUGCAGGGCCCGCAGAUUACUUUUCUUUCUCUUUUUUUUUUUUACGAAAAAGUCUUGAUUUAUUUGUUAUUGAAAUUGCUUUUAGUUAAUUGCAUGCAGUGUUGAUUAUCAUAUAUAUGGUCAAUAUUGCUGCAUGGUCCAAAAUGUUUGUUGAGUCCCAGACAUUGGUUGAUUUUUUCUAGUCAUGUCUCCGUCUCUGUCUCUAUCUUACUAGUUUUUCUCCUAGGUCUAUUAAUUUAUUAUUGAUCUUGAUUUAAACUACUCAUGGAAGUUGAUAGAUAAA